rnacentral:rRNA from 1 species
GUGCCAGCAGCCGCGGUAAUACGAAGGGGGCUAGCGUUGUUCGGAAUUACUGGGCGUAAAGCGCACGUAGGCGGAUCGGUCAGUUAGGGGUGAAAUCCCAGAGCUCAACUCUGGAACUGCCUUUAAUACUGCCGAUCUCGAGUCCGGAAGAGGUGAGUGGAAUUCCGAUUGUAGAGGUGAAAUUCGUAGAUAUUCGCAAGAACACCAGUGGCGAAGGCGGCUCACUGGCCCGGUACUGACGCUGAGGUGCGAAAGCGUGGGGAGCAAACAGGAUUAGAUACCCCGGUAGUCC